GACGAACGCUGGCGGUGUGCUUAACACAUGCAAGUCGAACGGUAAGGCCCUUUCGGGGGUACACGAGUGGCGAACGGGUGAGUAACACGUGAGUAACCUGCCCUCAUCUCUGGGAUAACAGUCGGAAACGGUUGCUAAUACUGGCUAUGAGCUUGCAAGGCAUCUUGUGGGUUGGAAAGAUUUUUUUUGGUUGGGGAUGGACUCGCGGCCUAUCAGCUUGUUGGUGAGGUAGUGGCUCACCAAGGCUUCGACGGGUAGCCGGCCUGAGAGGGCGACCGGCCACAUUGGGACUGAGAUACGGCCCAAACUCCUACGGGAGGCAGCAGUGGGGAAUAUUGCACAAUGGACGGAAGUCUGAUGCAGCAACGCCGCGUGCGGGAUGACGGCCUUCGGGUUGUAAACCGCUUUCAAUUGUGACGAAGCUUUUUUGUGACGGUAGCAGUAGAAGAAGCACCGGCUAACUACGUG
rnacentral:rRNA from 1 species